rnacentral:lncRNA from 1 species
ACCAGUUCAUCAAAAAGUCCCUUACCUGAUGUAUCAUCCACCAAUAAAAAUCCUAAAAAGAAUUCUUCAACCUUCACUGGACUUGCCGAAAUAUCUACACACCUCAAUAUUAUAGACAUUUGUUCUUCAUGACUUGUAUCUGGAGUGGAAUCAAGAAUAACAGAAAAGUAUUUAGAAUUUUUGAGUUUCUCAAUGAUUACUUUUUUUAUCUCGCCCGCUAGCAUAAGUAUCAGCUCAUUCUGAAUUUUGUGUCCUAGAUAAUGAUAAUGAAUCUCUUUAUUUUUUAUUCGACGAACAUGCUCUUGCAUUACAGGAUCGAACUCAGCAAUCAUUUGAAUCAUGCUUAAGAAGAUACCAUUAUUUUCUUGAUAUAUCUUCUCAUUAUCCCCACGAAAUGCUAAAUUAUUCUCAGCAAGAGUUUUCACCACAGAUAUUAUUCUCAGUAAUACUUGUCUCCAAUGUUCUCUAUCUCUAUUGAUUUGUUCUUGCACACUUUUAUCAAUUGUUUGACUCUUUUCGAAUCUUAAUUCCAUUUCUAUCCAUUUACUCAUGUUAUUGAUGUGGUCACAACUUACUUCAUGCAUUUUAAGCUUUUC